rnacentral:rRNA from 1 species
CACCGGCGGCUCGAGUGGUAACCGUUAUUAUUGGGUCUAAAGGGUCUGUAGCCGGCCGGAUAAGUCUCUUGGGAAAUCCAGCAGCUCAACUGUUGGGCUUUCAGGAGAUACUGUUCGGCUCGAGGCCGGGAGAGGUGAGAGGUACUUCAGGGGUAGGGGUGAAAUCUUGUAAUCCUUGAAGGACCACCAGUGGCGAAGGCGUCUCACCAGAACGGACCUGACGGCAAGGGACGAAAGCUAGGGGCACGAACCGGAUUAGAUACCCGGGUAGUCCUAGCCGUAAACGAUACUCGCUAGGUGUCGGCCACGGUGCGACCGUUGUCGGUGCCGUAGGGAAGCCGUGAAGCGAGCCACCUGGGAAGUACGGCCGCAAGGCUGAAACUCAAAGGAAUUGACGG